GGAGCCUUUUCUAUGGGGCCUUCACAGGGGCCUGGGCACCUUUGGGAGCCUGGGCUGGAGCUCUGAGAUCGGAAG